rnacentral:rRNA from 1 species
CACGUAGGGCGCAAGCGUUGUCCGGAAUUAUUGGGCGUAAAGAGCUCGUAGGCGGUCUGUUGCGUCCGCUGUGAAAACUCGGGGCUUAACCCCGAGCCUGCAGUGGAUACGGGCAGACUAGAGGUAGGUAGGGGAGAAUGGAAUUCCCGGUGUAGCGGUGAAAUGCGCAGAUAUCGGGAGGAACACCGGUGGCGAAGGCGGUUCUCUGGGCCUUACCUGACGCUGAGGCGCGAAGGCGUGGGGAGCGAACGGG